AUCAGGGGGAGUAUCCAGAUACAUACUCCACACUCAAUGCGCAUUGUGCUCUUUUUCUCCUUCGACCAAGGUUGUUUUUUCCCACAUGGUUUUAUUACUUGGCAAGGUUUUUAACGAGGCAAUUUCGAAGCGCAUGGCCUAGACAAUACUAUUGACAUGAAAUAUCCAAGGGGGAGUGUUGUAGUAUAUAUGAUUAUUGUUGUCAUAGUUUAUAUGUCUAUAUCAUGUAUAGGAUAUGUACUUGAGUAUAAAGAGGGGUGCUUAAGUGUAAAGAUAGGUAUAGUGACUUGUAUGAUAAGCUUUAUGCCAAAGGGGAACAAGCAUGGUUAUCUCCAUCAUCACAGCCACAAUGCCACAAUGUAAAGCUAGAAAUGGAGCUGUCAUCAAAGUUGUAUCAUUCUUUAAGCAUCUCACACCUCAAUUGUAUUCCUAUAAAUACCUCCUUGUAUGAGAUGAAUAAACACACUUGAAAACUCCAUUCUCUCUGAAAGAUUACCCUCUCUCUGUGUUUCAUUUUAUACUUGUCCUCAAACAUUAUUAUCUUUUUCUCAAAGCUAAUAUUUUUGCAGUCUGCAUAUGGUUCUGCAUAGAAACUUUAAUGUAUUUAUAAACAAAAUGAUGGCUAUUAAUCUAUGGUAGUAGCCAUUCCAGAUCAGUUCACCAAGUAUUCUCCUGAUGGCUUUUUCAGGUGACAUAUAAUACACUUUUAAGGGCUCGUAGCAGAUAUGGUUCUGUAAGUGAAGUACAACAAACUGGCUCUAUAUAUAUAAGGACAUGCGGAAAGCAGGGUAGAUCAUCUUGAAUUUCAAUUCCAAAUGAAUAUCUACAUUUUACUAAUUAAGAAUUUUACUUUGCAGUUACAAGCCCAAUGAUUAUUACCUUGAGCAACUAAUUGAGGAGUGGUGUGAAGGAGUUAUACAAGACAGCAGCCCGAAACAAGGCGAGUUCAGUUACUGGGACAAAGCGGACAUAGGGAGAUCUGGAAGUCUGCUUCUUCAAAAAGUUGCAGAACACUUGCAACGGCAUAUUGCUGACACUUUAGCAGUUCAUCUUCAAGGACUUACAACAAGUCAGUAGAUUUUUCAAAGCAAAGUUGCUACAUUAGAUUGGUUGAAGCUUGGAUCGUUGUUCUUGCAGUUCUGCGAAUGAUCAAAGAGAAGAAUACGUUAGGAGAUUCAGUAAAAGAUGACAUGUUGAUCAUGGUAGGAGUCCAUGAUGUGGUCGAUGGAGGUUCAACAGCUCACAAUUUAGAGGUCAAAAAUGCAAUAACCAAGCUUCUACUGGAUGACUUGGGGCUCAAGGUUCUUUCAACAGUACCUAAAGUUGCACUUGAUACUACAAUAAUAUCCGAGAACACUAAUGAUUCAGAUCAAAAUUUGGAAGAAAAGACAGUAAGGAAUGAAUUACAGUCAGAGUUGAUUUAUUACGCUAGAAGACCAGUGGUUCUGGAAAGGCUACACGUAUCCAGGAAAUCAUUGCAACAAUGGCUGCGGAAAAGUUCCCUUAGGAGGUGAUAUAAGAAAGCAGAAAUUUGUACAUGCUAUUCAUAGAACAAUAGUUAUUCAUCCAAAAAAGGAAAAAGAAAAAGAGAGAACAAUAAUUACCUGUCCUCAUAAACGAGGAGUGAGUCAUGAACACACAAGACCAGAACUUGCCUUGUGCCAACCCAUCGAGUCUGUUGUACUGAUCCAUAUCACAUGUAAAUUACGAACUGACGGCAAAUGUUUGCAAAAACAAUGAAGAUUCUUUCAGCUUCGUAUGAGGUUUUCAGAAACUUGCUGAUCUGGAAAACCAACCAGGCAACCACAAGUUCUUUCAAUCUCUCACGAUCUGCAGCCGAACUGGCAAAAUUGAAAAUGCUAGAGAAUGCUCCAAAUUGGGUCAGCUGUAGGCAAAUGAGUAUAAUUCUAUAUUCAUCAUAUGGAGAAACCAAAGGAUUUUGAUUCACAAGUCACAUCAUGAUUCAUGUAAUCAAGUUGUAGAGUACAUCAAAACCAAACCUACACAGCUAUCCUCAAAUCAAAACAACAAAAUCUCUAAACAUCCAAAUACUCAGUGAGUUGUAAGGAGCCUCAGAAGCAACAAGAGCAAUCAAAUGGACAAAAAGGGGUCCUUCCAG